rnacentral:rRNA from 1 species
GACGAACGCUGGCGGCGUGCUUAACACAUGCAAGUCGAACGAUGAAGCCUAGCUUGCUAGGUGGAUUAGUGGCGAACGGGUGAGUAAUACGUGAGUGACCUACCUUUGACUCUGGGAUAAGCCUGGGAAACUGGGUCUAAUACCGGAUACGACCAAUCUCCGCAUGGGGUGUUGGUGGAAAGCGUUAUGGAGUGGGUUUAGAUGGGCUCACGGCCUAUCUGCUUGGUGGUGAGGUAAUGGCUUACCAAGGCGACGACGGGUAGCCGGCCUGGGAGGGGGAACGGGCCCAAUAGGACUGAGAAAAGGCCCAGCGCGCAAACGGGGGCAGGGGGGGGGAAUAUUAUCCAAAGGGACCGAGCCGGAGAGGAAGGCCCCGGGUUAGGGAAGACCGCCUUUCGGUUGUAAACCGCAGUUAGCAAAGAAGAAGCGAAAGUGACGGUAGGUGAAGAAAAAGCGCCGGCUAACUACGUG